rnacentral:lncRNA from 1 species
CUUCAAUGCAUAUUCCAUUGCUUUGAAUAACAUCUUCAAAAUCAUUCUAUGAUGUCUGGAAUUUAAUUGCAAAGAUUGAUUUAGAAUUUAGUUGCAUAUUCUGGUCCCUGUCUUAGUAUACAAUUUUUAAUUCAUAGGCCAGUCUGAAAUGCAUUCAGAUUUGAUUGUAAAGCUUCUUGUGGUAAGACUUGAAAAUAUCCUCAUCACAUUUGGAAGGUGCCACUGCACUAUUUUGAUAUUGUUUUGAUUUGGAAAAAAUAUCACAGAUUGCUUAUCUCUAUUAACCUGGGAGACCUCUGCUUUUGGGGUCCUGCUUUUACUGUAACCUCUAUUUUGUAGUGAGGAUUUGUUACCUGGUUGAAUGAAUGACUGAGACGUGGAUGCAGAAAAAUCCAAUUCAGAUCCUUCAUUAGCCGUCUGUUUCCAUGGCAAGAUAUGACUUGAAAAUACAAUCUAGUCCCUGGAGAUGACUGGUUCCCCAAGUACCCUUUAAGCAGAUAUUUAUAGGCAUACACACUCCAGAUCUGUGCAGAGGAAAUUAAAAUAAAGCGCACACAAAUUGGCAAACGCUUUCCAGUCAGUCAGGAUUGAAAGAGUGGCCCAGUCUGUAAAGGAAGACGAUGGUAGGUCUUGCCAAGUAGUUCUGUCACACAUAGGGUAGGAUAGACUUGCAUAACUUGGGCAAGAAGCAUCAAGUCCUGCUGGGGACAAACAAAAGCUAUUUGAAAUGCCAGGUCCUGUCCUCCCUGGUGCUGCCGGGGACAAACAAGUCCUUCCCAAUUGAAGCUGCACAAGGAAUCAAGCAGAGUUUUGCUUCCCUAGAAAGUGCAGUCAUUGACACGGCAGUGGUUGAAGCUCACUGACACUCAGGAGGAGAUGUCAGGGUUUGCGGGAGGCUUGCUUUCAAGCUGUGAGUUUAAUAGCCCAGGGAAGCCCUCUACAAAGCUAACCCCAUUUCCUACAUGACAGCAAGAGCAAUAGUGAUAUGGCAGUGCCCACACUCGUGAAGCUGGAGCUUUUCCUGGGAAGGUCACAAACUGUUCUUUGAGGAAGUGGUGUCAGCCACUAUCGAGAUGGGUGAGUUGGAGGCUGAGUCCCCACAAAACCAUUUGCCUGCAGGUUGGAGUUGGAAUGAAGAUCAGUGCAGUGCUCUGUUCUGGGGAGCCUUGCUUCAGUUUUGACUGCUGAAAGCUUAUCAAAGCAGCGUGUUUCCAAUGAAAUGCUUCCAGCUCUGAGCUCGUUUCAGCAGAAAAUGCAAAUCUAACCAGCUACAACCCCAGCUUCCUUCCUCCAAGUCAUAUGGAAUAGGCACAGAAGAUUUAGUCUCCUGAGUGCCGGAUUUGUCUACAAGUCAGCCAUGUAUGUACUGUAAACAUCUGCGUAUUUACAAUGCAGAAUUCCCCUAAUUCUCAAUACCUCAGAUAAUGAUCGACUUCUUAAGAAGAUACACGUGGAAUUACAGUCUCAUCCUCUCUACAGUUUAACUUUGGAUAAUCAAUGACCACAGCCAGGCUGGAAGAAGAAAAACAAGUUGGCAGCUGUGACUAUGUGUUAAAAGGGAUGUUUAUGACUGGAUGAUUAAGAACAGCCGUUGGAAGGGAUCGAGACUGGCAGCAAAGCAUGUUUAAUGAGUGCCUUGCUUGAAACGCACCGUAAUACACAUUGCUUGUUUAGAAGAAGAAAACCACUUAUGAUGGUACUCGAUGGGAUCUGCCAUUACAAGACCGUCAGAAUAGAGACCCAACUGAAUCAUUUGCACAACCUUUUUCUUAUCUUUCCGUGAGACAAAGUUCAUACAGAGAGAUAAGGAGACACUGCAAAUCAGAAGCUAAGCCUGGAAGAGCCUCCUGCAUUCAGAGAACCUUUGCUGCUACUUCAUUUUCCUAAGGAAACCCAGCAUAAUCAUUUGAGCGUUUGGAUUAGCACAUCUACUGGGAGGACAAAGGGAUAAUGCCAACUCUAUCCCUUUCUCUGUAGCCCUUGUAAACAAAGCUUGAGAGCAAGAUUGCAUAAAGCAAGCAACAGGAACUCAAACAAAUGGUACCUGGGCUGGUUCAAUGGAGACCAAAGAAAAGUAAACGUACUGAAUCCUAUUGGUUGGCAUGAAAAGUAAUAGUUUCUUAUUGCUGAGAUGAUCCUUCCUCAUCCAAAGAUGACUCAAAAAAAUUGUUUUUUGUUUGAAGGGUUGCAAGUUUUGUGUUGUCUUUCUGCAGUUUGGGUAACUACUCCAUGACCCUGAGCUCUGGGGUGCUCCCGAGGCAGACCCACAGCAGAACGGGUACACACAGCCUGUGCCAUUUGUUCUGGGCAUCAGAGCUGAGAAAGGGACAAAUGCGGGCUGCCUCAGCGGGUCUGUGCCCUGCUGAGUUGUUCCUGGUGAUGUGAACACGUUUAUGGCUGGGGCAGUUAAGCUGCUGGCUCUGGAGCUGUUUCGAGCUGCUGGAGGCAUGCCAAGGGUCUGGCUCAACUGAUAGAUCUUGUUUUCAAGUUGCACAAGCACGAGUAACCUGCAAGGCUCCAUUAUUUGUUUCAGUGCAAUUGUUAAGUUCAGAUAGGAUUACCUAUAUAGCAGCUACCCAGGAACCCAUGUUGGCAUUUGUCACCUCACCUUAAAUGUCCUCCCUAGAAGCUGCAUCCUCACCUGUAGGCCUUUGGGUCUGACCUUACAGCUGGUAUUCUGACCUCCACAGUCUGCAGAGCCCUGCCUGCAGAGGUCGGGGUGAUAUUCACCUUCUUCUUUUGAGAAGCUGUAGAUCAUAUUCACCCCUGAUGUAAAACCUCCAACCUUAGCCCUUAUUAUUAUUUUUAGGACAAAAUCAGUCAGGUUUCAUCAUGAACCAAAGAGUAAUUUUAAUAGGCUUGAGCUUACAAGUGUGAUGUUCCCUACUUGUGCUUAUUUUUCUUAUUGUUUGCUGUACCUCUGUGCUCUUUAGAAGUUCAGAAUGAGUUUCUCUUCUCAAAGGGUUUUUGCACAGGCUCUGGGAGAUGCUUGUGUAAGGGUAAAACAUGCAUGUGUUCAACUACGUGGCUGGUGGCUGUUUGCAGAGCUCACAGCAGGACCAAGAGUGGGAUCUGGGACGAUUACAUUAAAGAGGAGGUGGAAAAUUUCCCUCCCGCAUUCCCUACCGCUGCAAAAACAGACCAAUUUGCAGGAGCUCGUAUGCUACUCCAAAGGACCAAAAACUGGAGGGUAAGAUGGGACAGGCUGACUUAUGCAGCAUAAGGCAGUCAGGCAGCACAGGAGUGCGGACGCUCAGCUGUACGCAAUGACCGCGGUGUAAGGGGGGCCCCGCGUCCGCUCCCCCAGCAGCACCGCGCGGUCGGUGCGCCCCGCC